rfam:Schistosoma haematobium scaffold1242_18, whole genome shotgun sequence.
AGCCUUCUGUAUCCGUGCUGAGAUUUCGUCACACACCAGACCACAAGAGCUGAUGAGACCAUUAUAAACUAAUUA